CUAUUUAAGGGGCCGCCUGACGUCAGCGCCGCCCGGAGCCCCCGCGAUCGCUCGGCGGGGCCGGGGCCGGAGCCGGGGCCGGGACCGGCCUCGCUCUCCCGCCGCGUCGGGACCCGGAGCGGCGCCGGGGGCUGCCCGCGGACGUCCCGCCCCGCCGGCUCUGCCCUGCCCUGCCCGGGCGCGGAGCGGCCGCGCUCCCGGUGCGAGCCGCUGGACCCCGGCACCGGGGGGACCCACAGCGCCGCGCCCCCCUUUCAGUCCCGUCCUCCCGCCGGCAGAGCCGGGAGGAGCAGGGACAGGGAGCCACCGCGCCUCGGCGGCUGGAGGCUGGCCCGGGGCAGGGCCGGCCGUCUGCACAGGGCCCCGGGCCGGGAGCACGGCUCGGCGCUGGGUCGCGGUGGGCCCGGAGCGAGGAGCCACCGGUUCGGGAGCCGGGAAGACUGGGCUCGAAGCUGCGGGAACACAAGGCGCGGGCAGAGCCGGCAGCAGGCUGGGUAAGGCGUUGGCAGCGAGGCAAGGUGUCCCUCCAGCAAGGUGUCCUUCGAGCUCCCGGGGAGCCUCCUUCCCGGGCGCCUGAGCAGCCCCGGCCCCGCGGCAUGCACUCUGAGGGAGGGGACAAGAGCGAGGAGGGGCCGCCCCGCACGGCGGCAGUGAUUUCUGGCCUCAGCAAGGGCAGAAGGAGCAGCCGUCAGCUGAAAGAAGAAGACGCAAGAAUUACAUUUCUCUGCCAGGUUGGAGAUGCUUAGUCUACAAACUGUGAUGGCCUAAAAGCAGGAUGACCCAGGAAAACCACACGGUUGUUGCAGGAUAUGGAUGCAGACUGUGGCUUCAUCCCCGGCCCUCUGGCUCCCUCCACUUGACACGCUUCCUUUCCUCUCGCACCCUGGCAGCUCAGGCUUCUGCUUGGUUGCUCGUGCUAAAGCCAAGAGACUGUGUGCAGCACCACUUAAACAUUAAGAGUCACUGCCCCUGCUUUCUCAGCACAGAAAGCUUGUUCAGCUGCGGAAAACUACUUGUCUUGUUACUUGGGAAGAAGGACGGUAAUAGAACAAGACAGGCAAAAAGCGGCAGCCCAACAGAAACAAAGAUACUGCGAGCUCCCUGGCAGCAGGGUGGGGAUGAGGUUUCCUCUUGUGCAGCGCCCAGGAACUCAGUGCAGAUGUAACAAGAUAGAGAAGGCCGCUGAAAAGCAGUGCCCUCUGCAGCCUCUUUUGCCUGUGCUUGUGUGGGAGCAACAAAAUUGGACCUCACUGGCAGUGUAAAAAUAGUUACUUGAGGAACAAAGUGUCUGAUGGAUCAGGAGAGCUCUGGAAUGAUAGGAAGAGGUUGGUCCCUUGUGGGAACAACCUCAUCGUCCUGGCAGGGUGAAGUGGUCCACAGGGGCUUUCCGUUUGGGGCACUGUGUGCCGUGUUUGGUGCUCUGUCCAACAGCAGCUUCUGCCAGGGAGAAGGGGCCAGAGCAGAGGCUCGGACACCAGCAGCUCCGUGCAGAUCACAGUGGAAAACAGCAGCGUGCAUCCCGUGUCAGCCUGAAGGAGUCAACAGACGUUGGGUUAUUCCUGGCUGGUGUAAACCCACCCACGUCUGGUACUUCUCUGGGCUGGGCACCUUCCGCUUGAGCUGGUGCUGUUCUGAGCGAGGAGGGAGCACCAAUGGAGCCCCUGCCCUGGCUUCAGCACCUUGGCCUGGGCAGAUGGCAGCGGGACAGGAGCACGGAGCAAGGGAACCGAGGGGCUGGGUGCUGGCAGGUUCCUUUUCCAGGGCCAGAAGGCAUCAAUCACUCAGCUCUGCUCCAUGACAGACUGCCACAGGAAAUCUGUGGAAAAGUUGCUUUUUCCAUUUUUAGCCGUUUUAUUGCCUCCACGUGGUGAUCCAGCCUCGGCAGCAAACACACUGCCUAGGCAUGAACAUUAGAGGCGCCUGGAUAAAUAAAGCUGGUGUGGAUGCCUAGACACCUCCAGGUUUCUCUGCUUUGCAAGGGAGAAAUGUUUUGUAAAGCUGACAAUUUUGCUUUCAGUCUCUGUAUCUUUGCAGGGCAUGUUUUUUCCAUGACAUGUUUGCUGUUUACACCGAGCUCCACAUAAACAACAGCUUUCUGGUGUUCUCAGCACACCCUCGCCCUGCCACCUGUGCAAGUGGGAGCCCCGCUGGUCAGCCCCAAUCCUGCUCUCCCUGGUGGGGCUGGAGCCCUGGCCCUGUGCUGCGGAGCUGCCCUGGUGGGCAGGGAGACGGAGCCCUGAUGGCUGCAGGAGAUGCCCUGCUGCCCGCCUGCUGCCUCGCAGCGUGGCACUGGGGGGAUGAGCACCAUGAGCGCCAGAGCAGGUCCUGCCUCCCAGCCCUUCCUCCCCACCUUUACCCCUUUCCAAAUUGAGCUGGCACUUGCUGUUGGCUGCCAGCCUUGUGCCUUUCACCUUUGUCUUCUUUUCCCCAUCUGUUUGCCCCUUUUAGUGGCUCGCUCUCCGCCUUACCUCUGCUUUGUUCCUGGCUGUCUUUCCAAGGUGAUCUUUCUCAGCUUUCCUCCUUCACUUCUCCCAGGCUCGCUGAUCUCCCGUGUUGUGGUGGGAUUUACCAAAGCAGCUGAAGACCGCUCUGCCUUGCCCUGCAUUAAGUCUUCCCAUACCAAGUCCCGUCCCUCCCCAGUCUCUCCCAUACUGGUUGUCCUUCAUUGCAUGGCCCUGGGUGUCAGACUGCCCCAGGAGAGUCCAUGGCAUGCCUCCCCUCCCCUGCUGUCCCCUUGCACAGGGCAGCACCAGCUCACGGGAUCAUGGGGGCAGGACUCGUGGGGCAUUUCAAACCACACUGCAAGGAUGUGGAGCCCAGCCUCAUCCCUCAGCCCCUUUUCCUUGCCAUCUUCCCCUAGCAGAAGAGGCCACAAACCGGCACCAGGCUGACAAACUGCCACCUUUUCUUGUGCUGAUGCAGUUGAUGGCUGAGCAGUACAUCUACCUGGACAGGGGAUGUUCAGUGCCACGGGGCAGACAGGGCCGAGCUGCUCCAGCCUCACAGCGCUGGCAGUGUCCUUGAAUGCCUGCACGGAGCCUCCACCACAUGGCCUGCUGCUUCCAAGCAUCUCCCCCUUCUCCCUGUCUGGAUGGGGAACUUGGAGAUGGAACAGGAUAUUGCGGGGUUCUGCAGCCCAGAGGCAGAGGAGAGAGGAACGCAGCUGCGCCAAGCCCAUGGGCAGCAGCCCCAGUGGGAUUCAGGGGCCCGGUGGCACAGAGGAUGGGGAUGGUAGCAGGUCCCCCAGGCUAAUUCCAUUUUGGCUGUCCUGGCCUCAGUGCCACUUCCAAAGGCCCCUCCUGGCUCCUGCAGGCUCCCUUCUGGUGCAGCACCAACACCAAACUCACCACAUGCAGGCAGCUUCCCAGGCUCUGAAAUGCAGGGUCUCACCAAGGACAGGAGAGUCCAAAAGGCUGUGCCAAGCAGCAUGACUGAGACUGAAACUGCUGUAAGCCUCAUUAAUCACUUGUAAAUGCACUGUACUCCAAAUAAGGUCAGAAACAAUAAAUUUAAUUUUGACUCUGACUCGA